AUGAACGUUGGCGGCGUGGAUUAGGCAUGCAAGUCGAGCGAGAACCGUAGCAAUACGGGGACAGCGGCGAAAGGGAGAGUAAUGCGUGGAUACCUGCCCUCGGGUCCGGGAUAGCUGCGGGAAACUGCAGGUAAUACCGGAUGACAUCUCCGGAUCAAAGGUGUGAUUCCGCCCGGGGAGGGGUCCGCGUCCUAUUAGCUAGUUGGCGAGGUAACGGCUCACCAAGGCCGAGAUGGGUAUGGGAUGUGAGAGCAUGAUCCCACUCACUGGGACUGAGACACUGCCCGGACACCUACGGGUGGCUGCAGUCGAGAAUCUUCGGCAAUGGGGGCAACCCUGACCGAGCGACGCCUCGUGCGGGAUGAAGGCCUUCGGGUUGUAAACCGCUGUCAGAGGGGAGGAAAUGCCGAUGGGUUCUCCCACCGGUUUGACCUAUCCUCAGAGGAAGGACGGGCUAAGUUCGU
rnacentral:rRNA from 1 species